rnacentral:rRNA from 1 species
GGAGCCUGAUGCAGCGACGCCGCGUGAGGGAUGACGGCCUUCGGGUUGUAAACCUCUUUCAGCAGGGACGAAGCGCAAGUGACGGUACCUGCAGAAGAAGCACCGGCCAACUACGUGCCAGCAGCCGCGGUAAGACGUAGGGUGCGAGCGUUGUCCGGAUUUAUUGGGCGUAAAGAGCUCGUAGGCGGCUUGUCGCGUCGACCGUGAAAACUUGGGGCUCAACCCCAAGCCUGCGGUCGAUACGGGCAGGCUAGAGUUCGGUAGGGGAGACUGGAAUUCCUGGUGUAGCGGUGAAAUGCGCAGAUAUCAGGAGGAACACCGGUGGCGAAGGCGGGUCUCUGGGCCGAUACUGACGCUGAGGAGCGAAAGCGUGGGGAGCGAACAGGAUUAGAUACCCUGGUAGUCCACGCUGUAAACGUUGGGCGCUAGGUGUGGGGGGCCUCUCCGGUUCUCUGUGCCGCAGCUAACGCAUUAAGCGCCCCGCCUGGGGAGUACGGCCGCAAGGCUAAAACUCAAAGGAAUUGACGGGGGCCCGCACAAGCGGCGGAGCAUGCGGAUUAAUUCGAUGCAACGCGAAGAACCUUACCUGGGUUUGACAUGGCCGCAAAACUUCCAGAGAUGGGAGGUCCUUCGGGGGC